rnacentral:rRNA from 1 species
UGGAUCCAGACUUUGAUUAUGGCUCAGGACGAACGCUGGCGGCGUGCCUAACACAUGCAAGUCGAACGGAACUGUUUUGAAAGAUUUCUUCGGAAUGAAUUUGAUUUAGUUUAGUGGCGGACGGGUGAGUAACGCGUGAGUAACCUGCCUUCAAGAGGGGGAUAACAUUCUGAAAAGAAUGCUAAUACCGCAUGAUAUAUCGGAACCACAUGGUUUUGAUAUCAAAGAUUUUAUCGCUUGAAGAUGGACUCGCGUCCGAUUAGUUAGUUGGUGAGGUAACGGCUCACCAAGACCGCGAUCGGUAGCCGGACUGAGAGGUUGAACGGCCACAUUGGGACUGAGACACGGCCCAGACUCCUACGGGAGGCAGCAGUGGGGGAUAUUGCGCAAUGGGGGCAACCCUGACGCAGCAACGCCGCGUGAAGGAUGAAGGUUUUCGGAUUGUAAACUUCUUUUAUCAAGGACGAAAAAUGACGGUACUUAAUGAAUAAGCUCCGGCUAACUACGUGCCAGCAGCCGCGGUAAUACGUAGGGAGCAAGCGUUGUCCGGAUUUACUGGGUGUAAAGGGUGCGUAGGCGGCUUUGCGAGUCAGAUGUGAAAUCUAUGGGCUCAACCCAUAAACUGCAUUUGAAACUGUAGAGCUUGAGUGAAGUAGAGGCAGGCGGAAUUCCCCGUGUAGCGGUGAAAUGCGUAGAGAUGGGGAGGAACACCAGUGGCGAAGGCGGCCUGCUGGGCUUUAACUGACGCUGAGGCACGAAAGCGUGGGUAGCAAACAGGAUUAGAUACCCUGGUAGUCCACGCUGUAAACGAUGAUUACUAGGUGUGGGGGGUCUGACCCCUUCCGUGCCGGAGUUAACACAAUAAGUAAUCCACCUGGGGAGUACGGCCGCAAGGUUGCAACUCAAAGGAAUUGACGGA